rnacentral:rRNA from 1 species
CACACCGCCCGUCACACCAUGGGAGUUUGUUGCACCAGAAGCAGGUGGCUUAACCGCAAGGGGGGCGCUUGCCACGGUGUGGCCGAUGACUGGGGUG